UCCCAAUUUCUUGGGAAUAAUCUUCGUUUGGAUGAUUUCACUGCACUCAUGACUCUCCAUAACCAUCCCUUGCACUUCCUUUAUUCUCUCCAUGAUCAAGUCUUUCAGAAACUUGUGGGAAUCCGGAAUAAGUGCGAGAGCAUCAACAAGAGGUAUCCUCAAUUCAACUUCUCUGAUGUUCUUGGCAAACAUAGCUCUGUACUUAUCUGCCAACGCUUUCUUGUGACGACCAGGAAAUGGAAGUGGGGGCUUGUAAGGAGGAGGAACAAAAACCUUCU
rnacentral:lncRNA from 1 species